rnacentral:lncRNA from 1 species
AAAAGCAGAGGCAGGGAGUCCCCAAGAUCAGCUGGAGUCGGGGGAGGUGGAGAGAGCAGAGAAUUGUAAGGAGAAGGGACACGGGAAUUUUCCUUGACUUUCUGCAUGUCUUCUGACGGAGCCCCCAGAAUCCGGGAGAGAGGGAAGCAAAUGCCCUGUUUAUCCAUAUUGUCAGCAUGAGGAAGCCGCAGAGAUGCACAGCAACUGCUAAGGACAAGUGUAGCAUCCUAAAAAUCACAGAAAUGUGACGGAAGAGAGCUUGGCUUUGGAGCCGGAAGGCAUGGAUUCAAAGCCCCAAAUCUGUUGAUCACCAUCUGUAGGACUUUGGACAAUGACUCAGCCUCUCUUAGAACUAGAUUUCCUAAUGGUGAAAUGGCUCCAGCUGUCACCAGAAACACACUGUUCAAGACUGUUUAUGACUCUUCUGAACCCGAUUGUUGAGAACAGAGACUCCACACCAGGCCUCUGACUCUGCCUCGGCCAUCCCCAAACCUUUGUUCGAGAAAUUCGACGUGAGCUCUCGAGCCUGCCCUGGGAGUGCUGUCACUUGCGCUCCACAACUUUUAAUGCAGAGAAAAUGGCUGUCUUGGGGCCAUCCUGCAGGGCAAGUUCACUCCCUGAGGUGGUUUCCUCACGUGUGAUGAGGACAGCGCAGCAGCCCGAGAGGACUGGAGAAUCCAGAAGACAGAACCUGCCCACAGACCUAAAUCUUUAUUCCAUCCAACUACUGAUCUCCAGAUGA